AUAGCGAGUCUGGUGCGGCCUACGCGCGGCGCUUCCUUUCGGACCUGAGGCCCAGACCCUCAAAAUAGAGGGAGCGGUGAGUCUGGCAAGGGUUGCAUACCCGCUACUUCUCCUCGCCAGCCUUUUCACUGAACCUAGGGAUCCUGGGACUCAUCCCUCCGACCGAGGAUAAGGAAGUCAUAAUAUUAAUGAACUCUGAGGACUGCUAUGAGGAUAAAAUGGGAUCAUCAUCAUCAUCAUCAUCACUUACUCAAUGCGUACUACAAUCCUGGCACUCCUCUAAGUGUUACAAAUAUAUUAACUCCAACAAUAACUCCAGAAGAAAUCCUAGUAUUGCAUAAGUGAUCUUCAUGAAGCUUCCUAUUCCCUGUGGAGUUUGGAAGGAGAGGCAUUCCUGUAGGCUUCUGCUGAGAAGGGAAGAAGAGUCUUCCUGCUUGGACACUGGGCUUCUGAAAAGGCCAUGUGCUCUCCUAUCUCACAGUUUUCUUUCUUUUACUUUUUUUGUUUGUCUUUUUUCUCUUUUUUUAUUCUUUUUUUCUUACCUCACAGUCUUGUAUGUGUUUUGACUGUCACAAGAAUGAGCAUUGGACGUGGUAGAAAAAAUUCUUGGAUUAGUGCCUCUCAUUAGUCCCUAAAAAUACAUAUGUAUCUGGCCCCAACUCCUGGUGACUCUCUAAGCUUAUGAUGCAUUUUUUGGUAUGUUUUGUAUACAGUUUUGAGCUUCCGCAAUGAUUUUUAAAACAGGACAAAAUCCCAUAUGAACCUUCUGUUAUACUCCAUUAAAUUGUCAAUACCAGAGAUACAGGAAAAUUAUUUUCUCAUUCUAACUUUAUAUACCCAAUAUCUAACAAAGCAGCUGCAAAAUGGUUGCUACUCAAUAAAUAUUUGUUGAAUGAAUGAAGGAAUGAAAAGCCAAAUGUAAUACAUAGAAAAGUUGAUUAUAAAUUCUUUGGUACAAAAUAGACAGACAAAACAUAAUCUAGGAAAUAUGCACCCUGAGAAAUUGCUAUCAUCAUCUUAAUACCUUAUAACAACGAAAGUUCUUAAACUGGUCCCCUUAAUACCAUUGUGUUUAUUUUCUGUAUGUUUAUACUUUUAUGCUUUGGUUUCAUUUUCUACUUAUUAGUUAAAUGAUUAUGAGAACUGUGGGGAUAAAUUUAAAACAUUACUGUGUUUCUAUAGAGAGUUCUGCUGUAAUGCAGUGAUUAUGAAAUGAUCUCAAAUCUAUUCAGAAUUAUUAAAAGGUACAGUUCAAUAAAUAUUUUUAUUUUUGUUAAUUCUUCCCCAAAUCACAUUAAAACGAU
rnacentral:lncRNA from 10 species